UAACCUGCCUGUAAGACUGGGAUAACUCCGGGAAACCGGGGCUAAUACCGGAUGGUUGUUUGAACCGCAUGGUUCAGACAUAAAAGGUGGCUUCGGCUACCACUUACAGAUGGACCCGCGGCGCAUUAGCUAGUUGGUGAGGUAACGGCUCACCAAGGCAACGAUGCGUAGCCGACCUGAGAGGGUGAUCGGCCACACUGGGACUGAGACACGGCCCAGACUCCUACGGGAGGCAGCAGUAGGGAAUCUUCCGCAAUGGACGAAAGUCUGACGGAGCAACGCCGCGUGAGUGAUGAAGGUUUUCGGAUCGUAAAGCUCUGUUGUUAGGGAAGAACAAGUGCCGUUCAAAUAGGGCGGCACCUUGACGGUACCUAACCAGAAAGCCACGGCUAACUACGUGCCAGCAGCCGCGGUAAUACGUAGGUGGCAAGCGUUGUCCGGAAUUAUUGGGCGUAAAGGGCUCGCAGGCGGUUUCUUAAGUCUGAUGUGAAAGCCCCCGGCUCAACCGGGGAGGGUCAUUGGAAACUGGGGAACUUGAGUGCAGAAGAGGAGAGUGGAAUUCCACGUGUAGCGGUGAAAUGCGUAGAGAUGUGGAGGAACACCAGUGGCGAAGGCGACUCUCUGGUCUGUAACUGACGCUGAGGAGCGAAAGCGUGGGGAGCGAACAGGAUUAGAUACCCUGGUAGUCCACGCCGUAAACGAUGAGUGCUAAGUGUUAGGGGGUUUCCGCCCCUUAGUGCUGCAGCUAACGCAUUAAGCACUCCGCCUGGGGAGUACGGUCGCAAGACUGAAACUCAAAGGAAUUGACGGGGGCCCGCACAAGCGGUGGAGCAUGUGGUUUAAUUCGAAGCAACGCGAAGAACCUUACCAGGUCUUGACAUCCUCUGACAAUCCUAGAGAUAGGACGUCCCCUUCGGGGGCAGAGUGACAGGUGGUGCAUGGUUGUCGUCAGCUCGUGUCGUGAGAUGUUGGGUUAAGUCCCGCAACGAGCGCAACCCUUGAUCUUAGUUGCCAGCAUUCAGUUGGGCACUCUAAGGUGACUGCCGGUGACAAACCGGAGGAAGGUGGGGAUGACGUCAAAUCAUCAUGCCCCUUAUGACCUGGGCUACACACGUGCUACAAUGGACAGAACAAAGGGCAGCGAAACCGCGAGGUUAAGCCAAUCCCACAAAUCUGUUCUCAGUUCGGAUCGCAGUCUGCAACUCGACUGCGUGAAGCUGGGAAUCGCUAGUAAUCGCGGAUCAGCAUGCCGCGGUGAAUACGUUCCCCGGGCCCUUGUACACAACCGGCCCGUCACACCACGAGAAGUUUGUAAC
rnacentral:rRNA from 1 species